rnacentral:rRNA from 1 species
GACGAACGCUGGCGGCGUGCUUAACACAUGCAAGUCGAACGAAGUGGCGAACGGGUGAGUAACGCGUAAUCAACCGGCCCUUCAGAGGGGGACAACAGUUGGAAACGACUGCUAAUACCGCAUACGGAAGGAGGGGAUUGCGUCUGAUUAGCUAGUUGGAAGGGUAACGGCCCACCAAGGCGAUGAUCAGUAGCCGGUCUGAGAGGAUGAACGGCACACUUGGGACUUAGUCACGGGCCAGACCCCUACGGGAGGGAGCAGUGGGGAAUCUUCCGCAAUGGACGAAAGUCGUACGGAGCAACGCCGCGGGAGUGAUGACGGCCUUCGGGUUGUAAAGCUCUGUUAAUCGGGACGCGGUACCGGAAUAGAAAGCCACGGCUAACUACGUGCCAGCCGCCGCGGUAAUAC